ACUCAAAUGAAUAGACGGGGGCCCGCACAAGCAGUGGAGUAUGUGGUUUAAUUCGAAGCAACGCGAAGAACCUUACCGGGGCUUGACAUGGAAACGACCGGCAUAGAGAUAUGCUUUCCCUUCGGGGCGUUUCACACAGGUGGUGCAUGGUUGUCGUCAGCUCGUGUCGUGAGAUGUUGGGUUAAGUCCCGCAACGAGCGCAACCCUUAUCAUUAGUUGCUACAUUAAGUUGAGCACUCUAACGAGACUGCCGUUCUAAAACGGAGGAAGGUGGGGACGACGUCAAAUCAUCAUGCCCUUUAUGUCCCGGGCUACACACGUACUACAAUGGCAUUUAACAAUGGGUAGCCAAACCGCGAGGUGGAGCCAAUCCCCAAAAAGUGCCUCAGUUCAGAUUGCAGGCUGCAACUCGCCUGCAUGAAGUCGGAAUUGCUAGUAAUCGUGAAUCAGCAUGUCACGGUGAAUACGUUCCCGGGCCUUGUACACACCGCCCGU
rnacentral:rRNA from 1 species